UCCUGUACCAGCAAAGAUGGAAGACUGCUUAGGCUGGCUUGGUCUUUUCUUUGAAACAGAGGAGGAGGAUGGGAGACUAAUAGAGGUGUAUGAAUAUAAAUAAAAUAAAUAUUUCUCUUAACAUAGGGUCUAACAGCAGGAAGCGUAACUGGCAAGUUAUUGGUAGAAAGAUUAGGAAGCAGACGAUGAAAGCCUUUUCACCCAAUGAGUGGCUGGGGUCUGGAAUUCACUGCCUGAGAAGGCAGGAAACAGCAUUAUGUUUAAAGUGCACCUGGUUUUGAAAAUUAAAAGCCAUGACGUGCAAUUGUGGAGCUUGUGGGCAAGGACACAAUGGAUUGAAUAAUCUCUUGUGCUGUAACAUUUAUUUGAUUCUAUCAUGUAGACAUAGCUGGAGAAUGAAAUGUUGCCAAUAAAACCAAACUAGCACAUGACGCACCACAUUAAACAAUAACUUUAUUCAGUAACUGUAUUUCUUUAUUAAUUGUGAUUAGUUCAAACAAAAAGGUUCACUAUGCAGUGUUAAAUCAAAACUCAUUAACUGUUUGGUUACACAUCUUUGUGAAUAGUUUCACAACCUUCAAUAAGUCUACUCAGAUGUUAUCUCUUUUAGUAGUUUCACAACUUUCAAUGGUCUACUCAGAUGUUAAUUCACUCUGGAUGAAUUUGGCCAGGUUUCAACAUGGUGAAUACUUCAAUGAGUCAGAGACUUGGCGUCUUCUUCAGCAACGAUUGGUUUCCAUAGUUACUGCUACUGAUCGUUUUAUGAGAAACCUUUCAAUACAAUUUUUCGUAAACUUUUCCGACAUUGCUUUGAUUUUAUAGCAGAUUAAUAUGGCUAAUGUUGACUCCUUUUCUCUAUAUGUACUUGUUUGAAUCUUUAACAUUUAUGCAGGUUCUCCUGUUCACCUGAGUCACCUGGUCCAUAGUUAUAAAAGUUUGGACGUGCACAAUACUGUCCCAGGUACACGAUAUCUCAAAAUCUCUGGAUCAGUACUGGUGGUGGAGUGGGGGUAAAAUUGACUCAGGUAGAAACAUAGAGAGCUCAGAGACAUUGGUGUCAUGGCAUCGACCUUUCCUCAAGGUCAAAUGACAACAAAACUAAAGAGAUGGUUAUUGACUUUGGAAGGGGUUGGGGGUGGGGGUGCUGAGACAAUGCUCAUGUUCCUGUCUACGUCAAUGGUGUUGAGGUUGAGAGCUUCAAAUUCCUAGCUGUGAACAUCGCCAACAGCUUGUCCUGAUCUAACCACAUUGAUGCCACGGCCAAGAAAUGAUAUGACAAUGCUUCUGUAUGUGACCACAAAGACCUGCAGAAAGCUGUGGACACAACCCAGCACAUCACGGGAGUCAGCCUUCCUCCUAUGGACUCUGUUUAUCCUUCUUGCUUCCUCAGUAAAGCAGCCAGUGUACAUAACAACACAACCCACCCUGGUCAUUUUCUCUUCUCCCCUCUCCCAGCAGGCAGAAGAUACAGCGUAUCUUCUUCGGUUGCUCAUCGGAAUCCGAUGACGACGUCCACUCUUUAAUGGUGAGAUCUUUGAUGACUAGACAGUCCUACCCUGGACCCACAAGUUCUAUUGCAGGUCUGCUUGUCACUGAUGAGCAAAACCCUGGUCUUUCGGUGGUGCAUGAUUGGAAGGUGACUAUGUUUUCACGAAGCUUCUUCAUCAAGAGAAAAAGCAAACAGAUUUAGGAGAUGCUGCGGCACUUCAGGACACUGGAUGAUACAGAUUUGGACGAUACCCUGUUUUAUAUCAAUGAGGACUGCAGAGGAAAAGCUACCUAGCUGUGUUGGAAAUCACUUGCAUAUGCAGCCAUUUAAAAAAAUAUAUGGGCGUAUCUUGGAGUUCAUCCAAAAGUACAGAAAUGGGAAUUUUACUCUGGCGCAACUUUCCCACACAACUUGUGUGUCUGCAAAGUGCAGAUGUCGCCUAACCUGCUGAGUUCCUUCGGCAUUUUGUGCGCGUUGCUCAAGUUGAAUCUAUUCAGCCCAUCCAGCAGAAUAGAGAAGGACAAAAACCAUAAGGGUUCCUUUGAAGACCCUGACCUGGAGUUACACGCAGACUUCGGUUCUUCGCGGGAAUGGGACCCAUUCUCAGGGUUUCAUGACCGGCCGUUGUUGUUCGGCAUGCCAAGAGCUCGGCCUAAGUAUUCAGUUGGGCUAUGGGAGCCUAGGAUCUCGGGGCAAUGGAGACAGGCGGACUGAGGGUUGGUGUCACCACAGGAGACCUGUGUGUCUUCGGGGAGUUGGAAUACCUGUGGCUGUGUGCCCAGAGAUUCAUGAUCUUUGGGCACAGAGCUAAAAAAAAAGCAACGUGGCGGACUUUUACCAUCGUAAACCAGCGAGUUGUUUGUAAUGUCUCCCCACUCGCUGUGAAAAUGGAGACACCUCCUUCUCCCUUAUUAGGGAGAGAGAGAAAACCUGCGGUACGUCGAAUGCCGGGUGAAACACAAAGGCUUUGGGGUAACUGCAUUUGUGUCUUUGCUGUUGCUUUGCUCAUCUUUGAGUGCUCGGUGAUGGGUGCCGAUGCCUUUUUUUUGUCAGUGGGUGGAGGG